UAUUUUCUCCUGUUCAAAAUUCAGAGCUUCGCUGAAGCAUUCAAUUUUCCCGCAAACCAGGUUUUGUAUCAGGAUCACAUGACAGAGCUAGAGGUGGCACGUGAAAUCCUGCCACCUCCAGGUAAGUUAUUUUCUCCUGUUCAAAAUUCAGAGCUUCGAUGAAGCAUUCAAUUUUCCCGCAAACCAGGUUUUGUAUCAGGAUCACAUGACAGAGCUGGAAGUGGCACGUGAAAUCCUGCCACCUCCAGGUAAGUUAUUUUCUCCUGUUCAAAAUUCAGAGCUUCGAUGAAGCAUUCAAUUUUCCCGCAAACCAGGUUUUGUAUCAGGAUCACAUGACAGAGCUGGAAGUGGCACGUGAAAUCCUGCCACCUCCAGGUAAGUUAUUGUCUCCUGUUCAGAAUUCAGAGCCUUGAUGAAACAUUCCAUUUUCCCGCAAACCAGGGUUUGUAUCAGGAUCACAU